GAAAAGGAAAAGAAUGAUAAGCCCAAAAGGGCUCAAAAAGGUAACAAAAAUAGGUGCAAGUUGUGUGAGGUACUUGGGCACAGAAUUGGUUCAUCCAAGUGCAUCUACACUCCUCAGAGGCCAAAGAGGAAGCGUGCAGAAAAAGCCCCACCGCUUGUUGUUGAACAAUGCUGGCCAGUGAAAAAAGCAAGACUCAGUGGCUAUAGAAGGAAGAGCACUAAGCAGAUAAUGUUUGGUGACAAAGAUAUGGAGCUAACUGAAACUGUUACUGCUGAACAUGAGAUAAGUGUUUGUGUUUUGGACGAUGUGAUGCAUACUGAAUCUGUUUUGCAGACGCUAGGGCAAUCUGAAACUGUUGCAGAUGAAGCAACUGUUGUGCUGCCAUUCGAAUCUGCUUUGACAACUGUGUUGCCAUGUUUGGAGGUUGUGCUGCCAAGUGUUGAGUUGCAAACUGAAGUAGUUGAACAAUGUGUGCCAUCUACUCAAUCUGCAGAAGUGCAAACUGAAGAAGUGAGACAUGGUCAGGUGCAAAAGUUGAGGGGGCC